rnacentral:rRNA from 1 species
AACGAACGCUGGCGGCAGGCCUAACACAUGCAAGUCGAACGCUCCAGCAAUGGAGAGUGGCAGACGGGUGAGUAACGCGUGGGAACCUUCCCUAUGGUUCGGAAUAGCCCAGGGAAACUUGGGGUAAUACCGGCUAAGCCCUUCGGGGGAAAGAUUUAUCGCCAUUGGAUGGGCCCGCGCCGGAUUAGCUAGUUGGUGGGGUAACGGCGCACCAAGGCGACGAUCCGUAGCUGGUCUGAGAGGAUGAUCAGCCACACUGGGACUGAGACACGGCCCAGACUCCUACGGGAGGCAGCAGUGGGGAAUAUUGGACAAUGGGCGCAAGCCUGAUCCAGCCAUGCCGCGUGAGUGACGAAGGCCUUAGGGUUGUAAAGCUCUUUUGGCGGGGAAGAUAAUGACGGUACCCGCAGAAUAAGCUCCGGCUAACUUCGUGCCAGCCGCCGCCGUAAGAC